rnacentral:rRNA from 1 species
UACAGAGGUCUCAAGCGUUGUUCGGAUUCAUUGGGCGUAAAGGGCGCGUAGGCGGCUCGGCACGUCCGUUGUGAAAUCGCUCGGCUCAACUGGGCGGGGUCAGCGGAUACGGUGUGGCUGGAGCAAGCUAGGGGGCAAUGGAAUUCCCGGUGUAGUGGUGGAAUGCGUAGAUAUCGAGAGGAACACCUGAGGUGAAGACGGGUUGCUGGGCCGACACUGACGCUGACAGCGCGAAAGCCAGGGGAGCAAACGGG